AUCCUCACACCUGCAUGACCAUGAAUUUCAACAGCUCCCUUUCACCCACCCAAUAACACGACAGUUAAGAUAACUCCAUGAUUAGUAAUUACCUCGUGCUCAGGUCGGGAGCCAUUUUUCAAAAAAAAAAAAAAAAAAAAAAAAAAAAGAAACAAAAGCAUAAAGGAGCAUGGCGCGCCAGGUGCGCCAAGCCUGUCAUGUUUAUUUUACAUAUUAGUCCGGAGCACCUACGUCUAUGACCCCC
rnacentral:sRNA from 1 species